AGGUUACCGAGGACAUGACACUUGAUAGGGGAGUCUGGAGGUCUAGAAUCAGGAUUGUAGGCUAGGGGCUUCUAGAGUCCGUCGUUCGCAUCUCUUGGGGUUGGGUGUGGGAUAUCUAGGGUUUCCCAUAGGGGAUUAGUGUUUAGCUUAUGUCUCCUUAUGAGUGUUAGUAUGGUAGUUACGGCUUGUUAUUAUUGCAUUAAUNNN
rnacentral:lncRNA from 1 species